rnacentral:rRNA from 1 species
UUUGAAUGUAAAUAAAAAUUCUAAAUUAGUAUUAGUUAUAUUCUUUAAAGUUAAAGAUUUUGGCGGUAUUUUAGUCUUUUCAGAGGAACCUGUUCUAUAAUUGAUAGUCCACGAUUAAUUUUACUUAUUUUAAUUAGCUUGUAUAUCAUCGUAGUUUGAAUAUUUUAUCAGAAUUUUAAUAUUCAAGAUUUUUUAUAAUAAAAAAAAUCAGAUCAAGGUGCAGUUUAUAAAUAAGUAGUAAUGGGUUACAAUAAUUUUAAUUAUGUUGGUGUAAAAUUUGAUAAAUUUUACUAAAUUGGAUUUGAAAGUAAUAAAAUUAAUUUAAAUUUUAUGAUUUAAGCUCUAAAAUAUGC